GGACUACCGGGGUUUCUAAUCCCGUUUGCUACCCACGCUUUCGCGCCUCAGCGUCAGUACCGGUCCAGGGGGCCGCCUUCGCCACCGGUGUUCCUCCCAAUAUCUACGCAUUUCACCGCUACACUGGGAAUUCCACCCCCCUCUCCCGGACUCGAGCCUUGCAGUUUCUCCCGCACGUCCUCAGUUAAGCCGAGGGAUUUCACGGGAGACACGCAUGGCCGCCUACGCGCCCUUUACGCCCAAUAAUUCCGAAUAACGCUGGCCCCCUCUGUAUUACCGCGGCUGCUGGCAC
rnacentral:rRNA from 1 species